rnacentral:Y_RNA from 1 species
GGCUGGUCCAAAGGUAGUGAGUUCUCUCAAUUGAUUGUUACAGAUUGAACUUGUUCUACUCCUUCCCCCUUCUCACUACUCCACUUGACUAGUCAAAA